rnacentral:tRNA from 1 species
GGGCUGGUGGCGCAACGGCAGCGCGUCUGACUCCAGAUCAGAAGGUUGCGUGUUCGAAUCACGUCCGGCUCA